CGUACUGUAGCCUAAUUAAAGCGUCACGCUUACACCGUGAAAAUGUCCGCGAAACUCAGACCAUUACGA
rnacentral:tRNA from 1 species